CAACAUUUUCUUGUGACUUCUCGUUCUCUUUCUAAAGAUCGUCUUCUAUCAAUGGCGGCGGCAGCCACCGUGCCGGAGAAUCUCACAAGAGAGCAGUAUGUGUACAUGGCGAAGCUUGCGGAACAAGCCGAACGCUACGAAGAGAUGGUGAAAUUUAUGGAAAAACUCGUCGUCGGGACAACGCCGGCGGCUGAGCUCACCGUUGAGGAGCGUAACCUCCUGUCCGUCGCCUACAAGAACGUCAUCGGCUCUCUUCGAGCGGCUUGGCGUAUCGUAUCAUCGAUCGAACAAAAGGAGGAGUCUCGAAAGAACGAAGAUCACGUCAUGCUGGUCAAGGAUUACAGAUCUAAGGUCGAGGACGAGCUCUCCGAUGUUUGCUCGGGAAUAUUGAAGAUUUUGGAAUCGAAUCUGGUGCCAUCGGCAUCUACUGGUGAAUCAAAGGUGUUCUAUUUGAAGAUGAAAGGAGAUUAUCAUAGGUAUUUAGCCGAGUUUAAAGGUGGAGACGAGCGAAAGGAAGCAGCAGAGGCUACUAUGAAUUCCUACAAAGCUGCUCAGGACAUUGCGGUGGGAGAUCUGGCUCCAACACAUCCAAUAAGAUUGGGUCUGGCACUUAAUUUCUCAGUGUUUUACUAUGAGAUUCUGAAUUCAUCAGACAAGGCUUGUAGCAUGGCAAAACAGGCAUUUGAGGAAGCUAUAGCAGAACUGGACACUCUGGGUGAAGACUCAUACAAGGAUAGCACUCUGAUUAUGCAACUAUUGAGGGACAAUCUCACUCUUUGGACUUCAGAUGCGCAGGACCAGUUGGAUGAGGCAUAGAGGUAGAGUAUAUGCUGUGCUAAGACCAACAAGUUUUAAGACAAUCUUGUGAAGGAGGUUCAACAUUCAUCUUCCUCCCCCCUUUCUACAUAUACACACACACUUGAAAUAAAGGUUAGAAUAUCAAGUAGGAUUGAACAGGAAAAGUAGAAGCAAAAUAGAUCAACAAUUUGGCUGUUGGAAUCUAAUGAAGUAUAUACUAUACCUUUGUAGUUUUUAGAAAAUCUCAAGCCAAACCAACCUAGUAGGGUCAUGGAAUAGAAGGUGCAUAUACAUGUCCUGAUACCCUAAAAAUAGAGUAUAAAGACCCUUAGUUUAUAUAUAUAUAUGUGUGUGUGUGUGUGUGUGACUUGGUAUUGAAUUUAUAACAGGUAAAAUAAGUUGAACCAAUGGUUUUGUAUAAAAGCACAUUUAUAUA